rnacentral:rRNA from 1 species
CAGCCGCCGCGGUAAUACGUAGGUCCCGAGCGUUGUCCGGAUUUAUUGGGCGUAAAGCGAGCGCAGGCGGUUAGAUAAGUCUGAAGUUAAAGGCUGUGGCUUAACCAUAGUACGCUUUGGAAACUGUUUAACUUGAGUGCAAGAGGGGAGAGUGGAAUUCCAUGUGUAGCGGUGAAAUGCGUAGAUAUAUGGAGGAACACCGGUGGCGAAAGCGGCUCUCUGGACUGUAACUGACGCUGAGGCUCGAAAGCCAGGGGAGCGAACGGGAUUAGAUACCCCGGUAGUCCCUGUCUCUUAUACC